CUUUUUUAAAAUAACAUCACUCUGGCUUCUGCCACUUUUCUUCUGGGGAAGAAAUGAAGGCAGGGAGUUUGCUUUGGAAACAACUGUGCUGUCAUCCACAAGAUACAGUAGAAUAUUGGGCCAGGAAGAUUGCAUUGGAUAUGAAGAAGAUAUUUUAAAGAACAUCCGACUCCAAGUUCUACAGUUUUGGAACUCAGAGUGUCUCUCCUUGCUCCUCAGCCUGCAGAUGGCCUAUUGACGGACCUUGUGAUUGUGUGAGUUAAGACUUUGGGGGACUGUUGGGAAGGCAUGAUUGGUUUUGAAAUGUGAGGACAUGAGAUUUGGAGGGGUCAGGGGUGGAAUGAUAUGGUUUAGCUCUGUGUCCCCACCCAAAUCUCAUCUUGAAUUGUACUCCCAUAAUUCCCACGCAUUGUGGGAGGGAUCCGGUGGGAGGUAAUUUGAAUUUUAUGGUUGUGAAUAACUCUCACAAGAUCUGGUGGUUUUAUCAGGGCUCUCUGGUUUUGCAUCUUCCUCAUUUUUCUCUUGCCGCUGCCAUGUAAGAAAUGCCUUUCACCUUCCACCAUGAUUCUGAUGCCUCCCCAGCCAUGUGGAAUUGUAAGUCCAAUUAAACCUUUUUUUCUUCCCAGUCUUGGGUAUGUCUUUAUCAGCAGUGUGAAAAUGGACUAAUAGUGUUGCUAUACUAUUUUUAAUUGCUAUUUGACCCAUGUAAAUAAAAGAUUGAAGAUUGAGAGGUUGGUAAGUGGUAGUAGAUUAUAAAUGAUCAUUGACAUAAAAUAAGACCAAUUAAGAAAAAUUAUAAGUAUCAUUUAAACCAGUUUGACAUUAUUCAUAGUAAAUAUAAUAAUUUUCAAAUAUUUUGAGCAUUAGCAUAUAAAAUGUUUCAUACUUCUCUAAAUUAACUUCACAAUCAUUGUGGUAGAAGAUAAAAAUACAGGAGACAAAUACGAAAAAUAAAUGAUCUUACUCUUCCGGUUAUGUAUUACUGCACAACAAACCACUACACAACUUAGUGACCUGGAAUAAGAACUACAAUACUUUUUUCGUUCAUAUACCUGCAAUUUGGGAAGAACCAGCAGGACAAUUUUUUUCUGCUUUAUCUGAAAUCAGCUGGGGCAACAUCUCUGGGCCUGUGUGUUCUUGGUAAUUUGUCAGAUUUUUUUAAGAUAAUGUCCUUUUUUUCCACAGUAAUUUUCCUAAAUCUAAAAUGUGAUUACUUGAUGACUCUUAUAACAGCCACUUUUGAAAAACAGUUUGUGAAAGUUGACAAUAUGACCCAGAAAUCCCACUCUUAGGCAAUUACUCCAGAUAAAUGAAUGUUUGUUUUCAUAUAAAUACUUAUAUUUCUAUAGGAAUCUUUAUUUAUAAUCAUCAUAACCUUGAAACAAACCAAAUAUUUUUUCAAUUAGUGAGUGGUUUAUCUAUAUUAGUCUUCGGUUUAUCUAUAUUAGUCUUUGGUUUAUCUAUACUAUUGAUAUACAGAGCAACAUGAAUGCUCUGUUCUCAAAUACAUUAUGAUAAAGAACCUGUAUAUAUAACACAUCAUUAUGUCAUUUAUGUGAUAUUUUGGAAAAGGCAAAACUAUAGAGCUGCCUAACGGAAAAGUAGAUGACAGGGGAUAAGAGUGUGUAGAUGGCUUGAUUUCAAAAGGCAGUUUGUGGGCAUAUUUUUUUAAAAGUGUAUCAGUUCUAUACCUUCAUUGUGUUUGAGGUUACAUGAAUUUGGGCCCUUAUCAGAACAAAUCUGCAUACAAAAAGAGUGACUUUUACUGUAUCUAAAUGUAUACAUUUUCUAUUGAGGUAAAUUCACAUUACAAAAAAUUCACCAUUUUAGCCAUUUUAAUGUAUACAAUUCAGUAGCACUUAGUACACUCACAAUGUUGUUCAGCUAUCACCAUUAACUAGUUCCAGAACAUUUUCAUUAACCUAGAAGGGAACCUUAUAUAAACGUUAAGUAAUCACUUAUCAACCUCCACUUCGCCCUAGUUACUGACAACCACAAAUCUGCUUUCUGUCUUUGUUUAUUCUUUAUAUUAGAUAUAAUAUAAUAUAUACAAUAUCUUGCCUUUGGUGUCUAGCUCUUUUAACGUAGCAUAAUGUUUUCAUAUUUUAUCCAUGUUGUAGCAUGUAUCAUAAUUCUAUUAUUUUUUAUGACUCAAUAAUACUCCAUUAUAUGGCUGUACUAUAUAUACAUUUUUAAAAUUUGAUGGUAAUUUGGAUAUUUUUCACCUCUUGACUAUGGUAAUAGUGCUGCUAUAAACAUGCAUAUACAAUUUUUGUUUGAGCACCUGUUUUCAAUUAUUUUAAGUACAUAGGAGAAGAAUUGCUGGGCCAUAUGAUAUUUCUUUUUUAAAAUUUAUUGAGGUUCUUUAAUAUUCUUUUCCAUAAUGGUUACACUAACUUACAUCCCCACCAACAGUGCAUGAGAGUUCCAAUCAGGAUUUCUCCAUAUCUUUUUAUUUAUUUUUUCAUUCUUUCUUCUUCUUUAAAAAGUAAUACUGUAUAGCCACUUGAGAGUAUAAAAAGAUGAUUUUGAUUUACAUUACCCAAUCAGUAAUGAUGUUGAACAUUUUUAUGUACUUAUUAUGUAUUUCAAUAUCCUUCUUAGAGAAAUGUCUAUUCAAGUCAUUUGCCCAUUUUUUUAAUGGAUUGUCAUUUUAAUUUUGAGUUGUAAAUUUUUUUCAUAUAACCUAGGUAUUAGAAACUUAUAAUAAAUAUAAUUUAUAGACAUUUUCUCCCAUUAUAUGGGCUUCCUUUUGUGAUAAUAUCAUGUCAUGGAUAAAAGUUUUAAAUUAUGAUAAAAUUAUAUUCAUGUAUUUUUUACUUUUGUUGUUUGUGUUUUUAGCGUUGUGUGUAAGAAACUUUGUCAAAUUCAUGGUCAUAAAGAUUUAUUCUAUGUUUUCUUAUAAAAACUUUAUAGUUUUAACUAUAGGUUUUUGAUUCAUUUAGAGUUAGUUUUUUAAUAUGGUGUGAGGUAGGCCUCCAUCAUCAUUCUUCUCCAUGUGGAUAUCAUGUGUCCCAGCACUAUUUGUUGAAGAGACUAUUCUUUAUCCAUUGAGUAGUACAAUGGAUUAAAUGUUUGUGUCCCUCCAAAUUCAUAUGUUUACAUUUUAAACUCCAAUGUGAUGACGUUCCAAGGUGGGACAUUAGGAGGUUAUCAAGUCAUGAAGGUAGAACCUUCAUGAAUGAGAUUAGUAUUCUUAUAGAAGGGAUUCCAUAAAGCUCUCUUUACCUGUUUCUUCCAAG
rnacentral:lncRNA from 10 species